rnacentral:lncRNA from 1 species
UCCGAUCUCUAAAGAUAUCCACCGAGAUUAAUCUUGAACCUUUCUUCUUAUACUUGAUCUAUCUUCUCUAGGAUGAAUCUCAGCCUGUUGGACUUUUGAUCAACUCUUUAUCUUUGACUGCGAUCUCAAUGCUUGAAUUGCAACCUUUCUCCCUAUUCCUAGCUGUAGAAGAGAUCACCCUCAAUUUGGGCAUGCAGAAAGAUAGGACGCCCAACCGUUGAGUGUUGGAAAGAGAGGAGGGAGAGAGGUUGGUGUGGUGAUGGGAGG